rnacentral:rRNA from 1 species
UACGUAGGGCGCAAGCGUUAUCCGGAUUUAUUGGGCGUGAAGAGCGUGUAGGCGGUUCGGUAGGUCCGUUGUGAAAACUCGAGGCUUAACCUCGAGAUGUCGGCGGAAACCAAUCUGGCUAGAGUCCGGAAGAGGAGAGUGGAAUUCCUGGUGUAGCGGUGAAAUGCGCAGAUAUCAGGAAGAACACCCGUGGCGAAGGCGGCUCUCUGGGACGGUACUGACGCUGAGACGCGAAAGCGUGGGGAGCGAACAGG